rnacentral:rRNA from 1 species
UACAGGGGGGGCAAGCGUUGUUCGGAAUUACUGGGCGUAAAGGGCGCGUAGGCGGCCUGCUAAGUCGAACGUGAAAUCCCUGGGCUCAACCCAGGAACUGCGUCCGAUACUGGUUGGCUUGAAUCCGGGAGAGGGACGUGGAAUUCCAGGUGUAGCGGUGAAAUGCGUAGAUAUUGGGAGGAACACCGGUGGCGAAGGCGGCUACCUGGACCGGUACUGACGCUGAGGCGCGAAAGCGUGGGGAGCAAACAGG